rnacentral:lncRNA from 1 species
CCGUAAUCUCAUUUCUAGUCUAUUAAUGACUUGAUCCAUCCAAGGGAAACAGAACUGUGCUAUGAGACAAAAGACAAGAAGAUUGACAAGGAUGCGAAAGAAAUUUUAGAGACAGCACAUCUAAGCAUCAUGCAAUACUUUUUCAAGCAAAAGGGACAUCAGGUCAGACAGCACAGACUGUAUGCGGCAGUACAGAUUAGCAUGAGGAGUCACACUGGCCCCAGUCAAUGCCAGAAAG